GGACCCGCGGCUCCUGUGGGCUGCCCGCUCCUGUCGGCCUUCGCUGGCAGCAGCGCGCCCACCCCGCAGUGAGCUGAACGGCAGCUUUGUUUUCUUUAACAAUAACCCAAGAGGAGGGCACAAUAGCAAAGUGAUUCCCUGGAGGGUUUGUAAUGCUUCCAGAAAUCAGGCGGCGCAGCUCGACGCAGCUGGAGUUUCCGCGCACACGUGGGUUACUCACCAGAAAACAGAAAGAGAAGAAGGUGAGCAAAGCACAGCACAGUCGGACGAUGACCUCAGGGACACCACUCGUGUGUUACAGAAUCAAAAUCUUUCCGGUUUGCUUUGCAAGAAAAAUGAUCAACUGCUAGAAAUGGCCGCAUCGCUGCCAGCAGGCAAUUCACCUGGUGUUUGUCACAGCACCUGCCACCAAGUGACCUCAAAACAAUAAAAAAACACUUUUCUGUAUGAAACACAUCCGUUCUUCCUGCUCCUUCUAUGAUUGAACUGACCACAGCUGAUUCAGUGCCCUUUAUUAAGAGAAGAUACUGAGACUUAUUCAGUAGCCAGUGACUUGCAGGUCACUAAAUCUUGCUGUGGAUUUACAGAGAGCUGUGGGUAUGGCUGUGCCAUCAGUUCUUUCUCACUUGAAGCAAAUGAGAUUAUUUCUGUAGGCUAAGCAUGUGCUUACCGCUGUGCUGCAUCAGCACGGCGCUCAGCAAUUUUGGGGAUUGCUCCUGAAACAUUUAAACAUCAGUGGUUUCAGGAUGCAAGUCAUAGCGCUGGUUUCGAUCUACAAAACCUUCUUUUGGCCUAAAGCCCAUCUCUGUAGGGAAAGGAGAGAUCUC